UUUUCAAAAGCACAGAAAUUCUCCAAAGAAGAAAUUGCUUGGAGAUCUGUCAUCACUGCUGGUACAGGAAGACCAAUUUUCAUAAGUGGCAAUGGUAAUUUCAGAAGAAUAGCAAUAGGUCUGGCUCCACUCCCAUCGCAGUCUCGCUGUCCCAGAACAUGAGCGACAGGUGUUGGCAAGGAGCAGGUGAAACUGGCAUCUCCGUGCGUCGCUGGCAGGAGUGUAAGAUGGUGCAGCUGCUGCGGAAGCAGAGUCUGGUGGGUGGUCCAUCAAAAGUUAAACACAGAGUUACCGCAGGAUUCAGCAAUUCCACUUCAAGGUGUACACCCAGUAGAGUUAAAAGCAGGACUCGAAGAGGUAUCGGCACACCGUACCGUGGUGGCAUUAUCCAUUCGCAGCGGCCAGUGGCAGAAACACGCCAAACGUCUGCCGGCAGGUGAGCGGGCAGACAGCCUGCCGCGCUGCCACACGACGGGACAUCGUUCAGUUUAAGCUGAAGAGGGAGGGGAGCCCUGACACGAGCCACACUGUGGAGGCACCUGGACGACAUUCAGCUGGUGAAUGAACUGCCUGCGUAGGAGUUCUGCCUGUGACCACGAGGCAGUCAAAGGGACAGACGGACCCUCCCACCCGGAACCACCACCAGAUGAAACAACUGAAGGGGAGA